CCUACGGGAGGCAGCAGUGAGGAAUAUUGGUCAAUGGGCGCGAGCCUGAACCAGCCAAGUAGCGUGAAGGAUGACGGCCCUAUGGGUUGUAAACUUCUUUUAUAAGGGAAGAAAGUGCAGUAUGUAUACUGCUUUGCAUGUACCUUAUGAAUAAGGAUCGGCUAACUCCGUGCCAGCAGCCUCGGUAAUACGGAGGAUCCGAGCGUUAUCCGGAUUUAUUGGGUUGAAAGGGAGCGUAGGAGGGUUGUUAAGUCAGUUGUGACAGUUUGCGGCUCAACCGUACAAUUGCAGUUGAUACUGGCAUCCUUGCGUACAGUAGAUGUCGGCGGCAUUCGUGGUGUAGCGGU
rnacentral:rRNA from 1 species